UGGGGAAUAUUGCGCAAUGGGCGAAAGCCUGACGCAGCGACGCCGCGUGAGGGAUGAAGGUCUUCGGAUUGUAAACCUCUUUCAGCAGGGACGAAGCGAAAGUGACGGUACCUGAAGAAGAAGCACCGGCUAACUACGUGCCAGCAGCCGCGGUAAUACGUAGGGUGCAAGCGUUGUCCGGAUUUAUUGGGCGUAAAGAGCUCGUAGGCGGUUAGACACGUCGGAUGUGGAAACUGGGGGCUCAACUCC
rnacentral:rRNA from 1 species